rnacentral:rRNA from 1 species
UACGUAGGAGACGAGCGUUGUCCGGAGUUACUGGGCGUAAAGGGCGCGCAGGCGGCCCGCCGCGUGUGGGGUAAAAUCGCCCGGCUCAACUGGGCGGGUGCCGGGGAGACUGGCGGACUUGAGGAGCCUAGAGGCCGGUGGAACUCCCGGUGUAGUGGUGAAAUGCGUAGAGAUCGGGAAGAACACCAGUGGCGAAGGCGGCCGGCUGGGGGUGUCCUGACGCUGAGGCGCGAGAGCGUGGGGAGCAAACCGG